rnacentral:tmRNA from 1 species
GACAGGGGUGUAGGAAGGAAGGGUUGGCAGGGCUCUCCUUCCGAAACUUACCUGCCUUGUGGCUGUUUUGCCUGCCAGUGGGCGAACAGCCAUUAAAGACAAACACUGGCUAAGCCUGUAGAAGCCCUAAUAGCCGGGCUAUCCUCGGACGAGGGUUCGAUUCCCUCCGCCUCCACCA